AGGACUCAAGAAUUGGCUCAGGAUAACCUUUGCAUGUGAACAGGGGUGGGAUGCUUUGUCGUAUAUACAUCUGACAAUAAGGCAUGGUGCAGGUGUUGCUGUAGGACUCAAGAAUUGGCUCAGGAUAACCUCUGCAUGUGAACCAUCAUCUCUGGAAGAUGGCCUCAAGAGAUUAAAUGCUUUCUAUCAAAGGCAUGCCAAAAAACAAUAAGUUGCUCUUAGAGGGCAUCUUGAUAUCUCCGUGUUAAGGGAGUCUUAGAUUCAAUUUAAGAUAAUGAGAUCUUCAACUAGUCGUUGGAUCUUGUAUGAUGUAUGGUAGCUCAUAAAUAAGUUAGAUUUUCAACAAUUUCCUUGAAUCAUCAGAGGAAUGUAAUAUGUUAUUUGGAAUGGUAUCUGGUUGUAAGUACUAUAGACAAUAUCAUUCUGAGGAGGAUCUCCCAACUCCAGCUCCAGAUUAUGCACCUUACUGUUAAUUGAAAUAUUAAUGUACUCGCAUUGCCAACUCCUGCUAUUCGUG
rnacentral:lncRNA from 1 species